UACGGAGGGCGCAAGCGCUGUUCGGAAUCAUUGGGCGUAAAGCGCGUGUAGGCGGCCUUUUAAGUCGGAUGUGAAAGCCCGGGGCCCAACCCCGGAAUUGCAUUCGAUACUGAUUGGCUGGAGUCCCGGAGAGGAAGGCGGAAUUCCCGGUGUAGAGGUGAAAUUCGUAGAUAUCGGGAGGAACAUCAGUGGCGCAGGCGGCCUUCUGGACGGUGACUGACGCUGAGACGCGAAAGCGUGGGGAGCAAACAGG
rnacentral:rRNA from 1 species